UGGGGAAUCUUGGACAAUGGGGGAAACCCUGAUCCAGCGACGCCGCGUGAUCGAUGAAGGCCUUCGGGUCGUAAAGAUCUUUCAGCGGGGACUAUUAUGAAGGUACCCGCAGAAGCAGGAGCGGCUAACUAUGUGCCAGCAGCCGCGGUAAUACAUAGGCUCCAAGCGUUGUUCGGAAUUACUGGGCGUAAAGCGAGUGUAGGCGGUGCGAUAAGUCGAUUGUGAAAUCUCCCGGCUCAACCGGGAGGGUGCGGUCGAAACUGUCGGACUGGAGUCCGAGAGGGGAGAGUGGAAUUCCUGGUGUAGCGGUGAAAUGCGUAGAUAUCAGGAGGAACAUCGGUGGUGAAGACGGCUCUCUGGAUCGUGACUGACGCUGAGACUCGAAAGCGUGGGGAGCAAACAGGAUUAGAUACCCCCGUAGUCC
rnacentral:rRNA from 1 species